rnacentral:lncRNA from 1 species
UUCAGCCGAACACCCCUCUUAGCCCCUUCAUAUUUUCGAAAUUUUGAUGUUCUUGCAAGAACUAAAUUAAAUCCAAGGUGUUUCCAAGCUAUUUUGAUGAUCAAAAGGUGCUUUCUUGGUGAAACAAGCUUUCAAACAUCAAAAAUCAUGUACCAUAGUUGGUGAUAUUUGAUGAUGAUAUUGAUGAAUGCUCACAUAGGAACGGACGAGACCUUAGUGACUUAAUA